rnacentral:rRNA from 1 species
UACGUAGGGGGCGAGCGUUGUCCGGAUUUAUUGGGCGUAAAGAGCGUGUAGGCGGCCAGGUAGGUCUGCUGUGAAAACUCGAGGCUCAACCUCGAGACGUCGGCGGAAACCAUCUGGCUAGAGUCCGGAAGAGGAGAGUGGAAUUCCUGGUGUAGAGGUGAAAUGCGUAGAUAUCAGGAGGAACACCGGUGGCGAAGGCGGAUCUCUGGACCAGUUCUGACACUGAUGAGCGAAAGCCAGGGGAGCAAACAGG